rnacentral:rRNA from 1 species
UACGUAGGGUGCAAGCGUUGUCCGGAAUUAUUGGGCGUAAAGAGCUCGUAGGCGGUUUGUCGCGUCUGCCGUGAAAGUCCGGGGCUCAACUCUGGAUCUGCGGUGGGUACGGGCAGACUAGAGUGAUGUAGGGGAGACUGGAAUUCCUGGUGUAGCGGUGAAAUGCGCAGAUAUCAGGAGGAACACCGAUGGCGAAGGCAGGUCUCUGGGCAUUAACUGACGCUGAGGAGCGAAAGCAUGGGGAGCGAACAGG